AAAAGCCUACCAAGGCCACGAUCAGUAGCCGACCUGAGAGGGUGAUCGGCCACAUUGGAACUGAGACACGGUCCAAACUCCUACGGGAGGCAGCAGUGGGGAAUCUUCCGCAAUGGGCGAAAGCCUGACGGAGCAACGCCGCGUGAACGAAGAAGGUCUUAGGAUCGUAAAGUUUUGUCGCAGGGGAAGAUAAUGACGGUACCCUGUGAGGAAGCACCGGCUAACUAC
rnacentral:rRNA from 1 species